rnacentral:rRNA from 1 species
UACGUAGGGUGCAAGCGUUAAUCGGAAUUACUGGGCGUAAAGCGUGCGCAGGCGGUUGUGCAAGACAGAUGUGAAAUCCCCGGGCUUAACCUGGGAAUGGCAUUUGUGACUGCACGGCUAGAGUGUGUCAGAGGGGGGGUAGAAUUCCACGUGUAGCAGUGAAAUGCGUAGAUAUGUGGAGGAAUACCGAUGGCGAAGGCAGCCCCCUGGGAUAACACUGACGCUCAUGCACGGAAGGGCGUGGGGAGCAAACAGG